ensembl:lncRNA
AUUGGAUAUCAUUCCAAAAGGAAGAGACAUUAUGGAUGAGAACAAUUAUCUUCAGUUGUUUAUUGGGAUGCAGGAAUAAGCACUUAAUACAGUAUUUAUUGUUUCUGUAGCCAAUUGUUGUUUGUCCAUUAUGGAUCUGUAUUUAACAGGGAAAGGAAUUGAUUGCUCCACAAGUAUGAUUCUGUUAAUCAAUAUGCUGCAACAACACAAAUCAGGCAAAACUGAUUUUCACAAGACCAAGUCCACGUGAUGUUUGUUUUGGCUCAAGCGGGUUAGAGAUGAAAGAAUACUGCGAAGGAGAGUAUGGGGGCCCAGGAGGAGGGAAAGAGGGAGAGAGAGAGAGAGAGAGAGAAGGGAAAGGUAGCGGGGGCCCAGGAGGAGGGAAGGAGGGAGAGAGAGAGAGAGAGAGAGAGAAGGGAGCGGGGGCCCAGGAGGAGGGAAGGAGGGAGAAAUAGAGAGAGAAGGGAGCGGGGGCCCAGGAGGAGGGGAGGGAGGAGGGAGAGA